GUAGGUUUCUGGAUCUACUCUCUUCCCAAUUCACACACCUCCUCCAUGGAAGUGUCGAAGAUCAAUUGGAAGAUGAUUGCCAAAGUAAUUGGCAAGUGAAGUAUCUGACGCAUAUUCUGGUCGAACUCACCAACACCGUCAUGGAAGUUACAUACGAUGUUCUUCUCCUUCACCUUCUCCUUCACCCCUUCAUACCUGAAACCCUAUCUGAAUUUUGGGGACCCAGAUCGGUUGGUUUUCUGUUCCUCGGAGAUUACAUUAUCGCUUCUGAUUCCCAUUUUCUUUCUUACUCUUCAACAUUCUCUACAAACCCUAGAAUCCAACGUUGUUCAUCCUGUUGCUUUUGUUCAAUAAAUAUCCUCAAUCCUUCACCAAGUCAAACAUUCUGAGACACUUUUCACAAACCCUAAAUACCUACACCAAGCAUUUGUGUCUUCUUCGAUUCAUUUGCUUUUUAUUCGAUUCAUCAUUCAGUUAUUUAAGGGUUUUGCUAUCCCUCUUCAAUCUGUUACCGCCAGAAGCUUUUUUUUUCCGUGGAGCCAUGGCGAUUCUGCUGGUUCAUGUUGUAACUGGCAAGUCAUCAUUUAACAUGUUACACAUGGAUCUCUGCAUUUUUCUUUGAGUGGUGGUUGGUUCGUUGAAUCAGGUUUACCUCUUGCCUUCAGUAUGCUACUUAUUUCGGGUGGUCGGGUAAGGUUGUGAACUAAAGGCACUUAUAAGUUGAUCCUACAUAACUGUUUGUUUUAUAGGAAGAUUCUGUAAGAAACUGUAA